GCCGAUGAUGACUAAUUGUAUCUACCUGAAAUGCAUCAUUGCAAAAGUGUAGAUAAUACAUUGAACUAGGACGGUCUGAGGC
rnacentral:snoRNA from 1 species